rnacentral:RNase_P_RNA from 1 species
GGGAAUUCGAUGGGGGAGGCUGCGGACGAGAGAUAUAUUUUGUCGCCGCAACGUUUCUCCAUAGGAAAGUCCGGACACCGCAGAGCAGGAUUCCGCAUGAAAGUGCGGGGGUUGUCGCUAAACGAUGGCCACGGAAAGUACAGCAGAAAGGAUACCGCCGCGAGGUAAGGGUGAAAAGGCGAGGUAAGGGCUCACCGGGCGCGCAGCAAUGGGCGUCGCAAUGGAAACCCAAUCCGGUGCAAGACAAAUAAGGAAUAGGGUUGCUCGCCCGAUUAUUCCGGGUUAGUCGCAUCUCCUCCGGGAGAAAUAGCUUAUAAAAGUUAUUAGAUAAAUGAAUUCCGGGCGCAGAGCCUACAGAAUCCGGCUUAUAUCU